AAUUCUCAACCUCACCAGUUUUGUAAUGAGACAGGUGAAGGCUUGGAUGUGGGGGUUUGCAGGCUGCCUCAGUGCUGGUCUGCUCCCCUGAAAUGCAUUAGCGAGCUCAUAUUGAGCUUCCGUCUAUUGGUGUGAUAACUAUCUAUGCCGUGGAUUGGAACUCAUGCUUGCUUCUAACCGUCCGCAAGGACAAUUUACUUGACCA
rnacentral:misc_RNA from 3 species